UCAAUCCAAUAAUAAGCAAGGUGUUUAGUCAUCUCAACCUAUUUUCACCGGUUGUUGUCAACUUUUAUUUGCUCUUCUUCCUUUUUAGCUCCAUGUGAGCUUGUAUUGAACCGCGGACAUUUUGGUACUUUUGCUUAAUAUAUUAUGGCUGCAUGAAUCAGUCUGAUGUAGAGGCCGGGGAUGACCCUCCUUUUCAAAAAUAAAGUCAAAGCGUCUUCGGCUCGCUUCAGUGCUUAUAGUUGUUGCUAGGUGGUCUACGAAUCUGGAUGUAGUUUUAUUAUUUCUUGUGUUCGUUGUAUUACCAUGAUUGGAGAUGGAUAGAUCAGAAGUUUCCCGCAAAAUAAUAAGAAUUGCCAUAAGUUUAGUAUCGGAAAAAGUUAGCAUGAAAAGAUCAAGACGUGCCUAGCUUAGCUUGUAAACAAUACAAUGGAGUGGUUGGUAAUCGGCCAGCAUUGUUUAUGUGACACUCCCCUUUUAAUCUGUUUUGCUGAUUGAGCACUGAGAGCCACGAUCUCAGUGGAUCGUUUAUUGCCAAAGUGAAUGUUCGGAAGGUCCCAACCCCGUGAAUUACAAUAAUCAGGUAGUACAAUGAUAGGUCUGCUCUUGACGUCUUCUUGGUGAGCAUAAAAUAGGCCAAAGAAUACGAGUGACAUGCAACUAAGUAUUGUAAUGACGUAGUACAAUAAUCAGGUAGAACAUACUGUGUUUCUUCUCUCCGAGAGAUGGCCGGACAUGCGGGCAGAUCCAGUGUUCCUCCAAAAAAAAGUCCAUGUUGCCUUCAAGUGAGACGGAACUGUUAUUUUCAACAAAUAUACUCCGUGUCAUGGCACACCACCUUGCAGGUUAUUAUCAGACAGAUCCAGAUGGGUGAGCUGCUUUAAGCCGCCAAGCUCUAUUGGGAUGAAGCCCCAAAAAUUGUUUCGCUGAAGGAUUAGGUAUUCUAACUGUUCAAGAUUACCAAAAGAACCUGGAACUUGACCAAUGAAAUUGUUGGAAGAAAAGUUUAACAGUCUUAGCCCUGAAAUAUUGCCUAGUGAAGCAGGGAGAUGACCUUCAAAAUUGUUAUUGUCCAAACAGAGAUGUUUAAGAUCUGGGAAGGUGUCACCAAAGUUCGAUGGCAGUGUUUUUCCAAGCAUAUUGGAAUAUAAGUAUAAAUAUUGGAGAGAAGACUGAUUGUAUUUGUACAGGGUUUCUGGUAUUCCACCUGAUAGCAUAUUUCCAGCAAGGCCUAAAUAAACAAGAGAUGGGAAACUUCCCAUCUCAUCAGGAAUGGUUAUUGACCGGAGAGGUGUCUCAGUCAUGUCUACAUAGUUCUCGAACCCGUAGGGUCCGCACGCUUAACGUUCGUUGACGAUAUAGUGUUAUAUGAGUUAUAUGAUUUGGUGACCGAAUGUUGUUCGGAGUCCCUGAUGAGAUCACGGACAUGACGAGGAGCUCAUAAAUAGUCCGGAGGUAAAGAUUGAUAUAUAGGACUGGUAUUCGGACACCGAAAGUGUUUCGGAGUUUACCGGAUGGUCAUCGGAAUAUCGGAGGGGGUAACGGACACCCCCGGGAGGGCAAUGGGCCUAUUGGACCAUUAGAGGGGAGUACACCAGCCCACAAGGGACUGGCGCACCCCCUAUGGCAGCCGCCCAAGUGGGAGAAAGGAAAGGGGGGAUUCAGCCUCCCCCUUCCUUCCGUCUCCCCCCUUUCCUUCCCCCCUCUGGCAAAUAUGGUAAGGGGCCGCCACUUGGGAAGGACCCCAAGUAGCCUUGGGCCUACUUGGGGGCGCCUCCUAGAUGCUCCCUCCUCCCCCCCCCACCUAUAUAUAUGUGGGAGGGGGCACCACACAUAACCACGACAAUUGCUUAGCCGUGUGCGGCGUCCCUCUCCACCGUUUACACCCUCGGUCAUAUUUUUGUAGUGCUUAGGCGAAGCCCUACGGAGAUAGCUUCAUCAUCACCGUCACCACGCCAUCGUGCUGCUGGAACUCAUCCACUACUUCGCCGUCUUGCUAGAUCAAGAAGGCGAGGACGUCACUGAGCUGAACGUGUGCUGAAUGCGGAGGUGUCGUACGUUCGGUACUCGAUCGGUUGGAUCGCGAAGAAGUUCGACUACAUCAACCGUGUUACUAAAUGCUUCCGCUUACGGUCUACGAGGGUACUUAGACACACUCUCCCCUCUCGUUGCUAUGCAUCUCCUUGAUAAAUCUUGCGUGUGCGUAGAAUUUUUUUUGUUUUCCAUGCAACGCUUCCCAACAUGAUUCACCUUUCCGAAAGCAGUUAAUGAGGACGAAAGCAGCCUUUUUUCAUAGGACUAAAUUCAUCAUUGGGAACAGUAAUUUGACUAGAUUCUGGGAGGAUACAUGGUUAGGGGAGACGCCUGUAGCCACACAAUAUCCGUCUCUUUAUAAUAUUCUACAUCGUAAGGGCGCUUAUGUUGCUAUAGUAUUAUAGUAUGUUUCUCUAAACAUCCAGUUCAGGAGGUCCUUAGUAGGAGACCGAUGGGACGCGUGGCUAUAUCUUGUGCGGAGGCUGAUGGACAUUCACCUCUCUGAUGAGCCAGAUUCGAUUCACUGGAAACUAUCUAUGAAUAGAGUUUUUCAGUGAAAUCUAUGUAUCUAGACUUAACUAAUUCUAGUCCAAUUCCAAAAUCAUUACAUAUUUGGAAGAUUAAAGUACCUUUAAGAAUCAAAAUCUUCAUGUGGCUUGUUCACAAGGAGGUGAUUUAGACUAAGGAUAACUUGGCAAAGCGAAGAUGGGAGGGUAGUAAGCGAUGUUGCUUUUGUGAUCAGGAUGAAACUAUUAAAAACCUCUUUCUCGAUUGUCCUCUUGCCAAACUUUUAUGGCAUACAGUUCAUAUAGCCUUUAAUGUCAGCUCUCCAAAUAGUAUUAACACAUUAUUUGAGGAGCUAUUUUACGGUAUCUUGGUACUCCCAAAACAUGUGCUGGAGUACCGAACAGAUCUUGCCGUUCGUUGUGAAGGGUAACUUAGUUAUUUUCCCACGGGUACUUCCGAUAUUCUCCCUGUGAUCUCGCAUGGAUGCCAAAUACAGCUCCCAAAAGAAAAACAAAAACUCCAGAUUGAGUGCCAGAAAAAGCUCCCGUUCGUUCGGCCGGAAAUCCCGAUCGCUCGGUGCCUAGCAAUGGAGUGGCCGCGCCACCUCAAACCUGAUCCUUCGCUACCGCAAGCCGCCCUGCUGCGCCGCCCGUCGAGCCGCCACCGGCCAACCCCUGUACUGCGCCAUGGUUGCGGAAACGAGUCCUCGAUCAGCUUCACGGCAUAGAUCUUGUUCCGGCUCGUCCCAGACGCGGAUGCUUUCCCGUUACUCACCUACGAAGGACGUGCAUAGCCCGCCGGCAUGGGCUCAUCCCGGCAUCUCCAGACGCUGCGUGCAUAUCAAUAUACUACGUUUUGCUUGUAAUUGAAAAAAAAGACGCCAGAAUACAUGGGAGGUUAUGAGGGGAACCACGAAUAUGAAAUAAUAUUAGAAUGUUAUAUAUGAUUACGGUUUUGCCCCUUAAAUCAAGGUACUCCAGUACUUUUUAACUUAGUACUCCGUUGGAUGAGUGAUGGAGUACCAAGCAAUACUGUCCACUGGAUCAAGAGAAAUGUACGGUCUAUAUUUAUUUCGGGGUACUGUAAAAGAUCUCUAUUUGAGAGGUGGCUAAAUGGAGUGGAACCAAACUAUGCGGGACAUAUCCGGAUAGGAGUAUGCGCAUUACUUUGGGCUAUAUGGAACUGCAGAAAUGAAAUAAUUUUUAAAGUCAAACUCAUAUAAAUAUUUUGCAGGUUAUCUACAGGGCCACUGCAUGGUUCCAUAUGUGGUCAUUACUCACUCUUGCGGAAGCCAGGGAGCAUUUGGCUAUUGGGUGUACCCGGUGAAAGAUAGUAGCAAAGGGUACUUACAACCGGUUUGGAUGUCAAUCCAAUAAUAAGCAAGGUGUUUAGUCAUCUCAACCUAUUUUCACCGGUUGUUGUCAACUUUUAUUUGCUCUUCUUCCUUUUUAGCUCCAUGUGAGCUUGUAUUGAACCGCGGACAUUUUGGUACUUUUGCUUAAUAUAUUAUGGCUGCAUGAAUCAGUCUGAUGUAGAGGCCGGGGAUGACCCUCCUUUUCAAAAAUAAAGUCAAAGCGUCUUCGGCUCGCUUCAGUGCUUAUAGUUGUUGCUAGGUGGUCUACGAAUCUGGAUGUAGUUUUAUUAUUUCUUGUGUUCGUUGUAUUACCAUGAUUGGAGAUGGAUAGAUCAGAAGUUUCCCGCAAAAUAAUAAGAAUUGCCAUAAGUUUAGUAUCGGAAAAAGUUAGCAUGAAAAGAUCAAGACGUGCCUAGCUUAGCUUGUAAACAAUACAAUGGAGUGGUUGGUAAUCGGCCAGCAUUGUUUAUGUGACACUCCCCUUUUAAUCUGUUUUGCUGAUUGAGCACUGAGAGCCACGAUCUCAGUGGAUCGUUUAUUGCCAAAGUGAAUGUUCGGAAGGUCCCAACCCCGUGAAUUACAAUAAUCAGGUAGUACAAUGAUAGGUCUGCUCUUGACGUCUUCUUGGUGAGCAUAAAAUAGGCCAAAGAAUACGAGUGACAUGCAACUAAGUAUUGUAAUGACGUAGUACAAUAAUCAGGUAGAACAUACUGUGUUUCUUCUCUCCGAGAGAUGGCCGGACAUGCGGGCAGAUCCAGUGUUCCUCCAAAAAAAAGUCCAUGUUGCCUUCAAGUGAGACGGAACUGUUAUUUUCAACAAAUAUACUCCGUGUCAUGGCACACCACCUUGCAGGUUAUUAUCAGACAGAUCCAGAUGGGUGAGCUGCUUUAAGCCGCCAAGCUCUAUUGGGAUGAAGCCCCAAAAAUUGUUUCGCUGAAGGAUUAGGUAUUCUAACUG
rnacentral:lncRNA from 1 species